GAGGCAUCAGAGCCAUCACCAGGAUGAAAAGCUGCAAGCAGGGAGAAGCCUGCAUCUUUGCCCCUGGAGGACUAAAGCCCUGUCAGGAGGCUCUCCACCUGGAAAGUCAGCUUUGACUCUGGCAUGGUGAGGAUCAGGAAGAUCCUGAGAAUCUUCAGGCUGUCCACGGACCCCACAAAAUCUAGAUGCAGAGUUGACUGAGGUUCAGAGUGAUGCCCAGCAUCCCCAACACCACGCCAGAUCGCCAGGUCACGAGGCUUGGACGUGGUACACACCUUUGACUCAGCAGCUCCAGCACCUUCUGGGCACCGGCCACAUUUGGUCAUAUACACAAAAAUUCAUGGACUCAGGAGGUGUUCUCCUCUUCAGGACAGUCACCAAGUCAUUCUCGAGCUCCUGUCGGAUAAGUGCUAUGAAGCUGUUUGGUAAAUAGAACAUGUGCACUGUUGAAUCUUUUGUUAUCUCCCUAGUUUCAGGGAUCAAAGAGGGACAUUUCAAAAUGACUCACUGCCAAUGGUAGGUGCUUCACCUACAUUGGAGCCAGGAUAGCCUGUGUGUGUCAAGUGAAAACAGAACAAAAGACUUUCCCUUCAUAUUCUCCAUUGAUCACAC
rnacentral:lncRNA from 1 species